rnacentral:lncRNA from 1 species
ACUCUUGGAGUCUUGGUUCACUGUAUUGGACUAGAAUUACAUCAGUACCAUCUCACUAAAUGUAAACCACCAAACUAAGCUAUUUCAUUUUUAAUUCCAAGCAAACGUGUCUCUACUAAAAACUAUUUAAGGUAUAAUCACAGUGGUUAUCUGACUGUGAUGCACUAUUGCACAGCUGAGCUUAACUGCUCCUCCAGCAUUAACAACACUGCAUCAUGUAUUAACACAUCAGUAUCAUGAGAAACUAAUGGCAAGUUCUUUUCUGAAUAUUCGAUCCUUGUCAUGCAUGUUUGACAUGAUUAAACAACCUAACUACCAAUCCCUAACCACCUAGCAUCCACAUUAACUCCUUGUCUGUACUACUAACUAACUGGAUCAGAUAAACUAAGAACUCAAGUACAAGUGUACAACACUCCAUGGACCCAAACAGAAGGGCCAGCUAUUUAUUUAGUUCCAUGAGAACAUUAUAAUAGCCCUGCUUGCAAAUCGUAGCGUAACACCUAGUCACAAAAUAAGAAAUGUUAAUACCUUUUGGUGAUCUUCUUGUCGUUGGGUACGGUUCUUGAAGAGAUGGAAAUUAAAUCGUGCAAUAUUCUUAACUACAGUCUUUCAAAAAAAACAUUCUUAACUACAAAACUACACCUUACCUUAAGACCUUAUAUCAUUAUAUGUACAAAAACAAACAAUUGUGGGAUUCAGGAUACCAAUAAUAAUCUUGAUUAAAUUAGAGAAAACCCAAGGAGAAAUCUCUAUCAUUACUUGAUGGGGAAAAUAGAAAAAUGUAUAAAUUAUGGUUACAACUAUACAAUCAAAUGUAUGCAUUAGUGUUAUAUAACCAAUACAGCUCCCAAAUCUACUUGUGCAGUACGUCCAGAUGAUCUGGCUAGUUCAAAAUUUAAAACAAAAGAAAAGGUAUAGUUCCUCAAUAAAAUGGUCAGGAUACAGUUGGUGUGUGCCCAUAAUUAAGUAUCUUGCUGCAUGCUGAUGCAUAUGACAGUUUAUCAUUAUCCACUCAAGGUUUAGUAAUGAUCUCGUGCUUCUAGCUUAACCUUUCUAGUUAGCUUAUCCUUGUAGGCCAUUUAACAAAAUAACAGUGACAUUAUUUUAGAAGCAAGCUAUCCAAAAAAAACCGCAUGCUUAUAAACAUAUAAAUUGAAAGGUAAGCCGAAUGUGAACUCAAUAAGUUUUAACAAAUGAGUUGGAAUUUGAAUAUAUAUCAAACUUGAUUACCGUAUUCGUGUUAGAAUGUGGUGAGUCCUUAAGGGACAUAAGCAGGCAAAAUGCAUGUAAUAACAUUUCAGAUAUAGGCUAAUCUUUGUUUUUGUGAUAAUAAGAGAUUAAUUAAUUAGAACAGUGCGUUCAGUGCCUAGUUAGUUGGGUCAUGAAACCCCUAGUAAUCUUUACAAAAUCUUGAUCAAACAUACAAUAGCAUGACUAAUACUAAAGUUGAAUCUUAUACAUUCUUAAUGUUCAGCAUUUUAGAGCUGAUUCAUAAAAAAGAGCUUUCUAGAGUUAUGUAAUUAAAAUUAUCAUGAUAGUUCAGUGGUAGUUAUAGUGGCAAGAACGUGGAAGAAGAAUGUUUGGAUCAUCAAGUAUCAUCGUUUUUUGUGUAACUAAUCCCCAACCUAAACAUCCUCGUUUGUAUUUAGAUGUACACGUGUGAUGAUGAUUGGUAACAAAUACACUCCCAAAGAAAUUGAAUAACCUUUUGAGAAAUGGAUAGUUUUGUUUAGAGCUAGCAUUUGCAAAAG